rnacentral:lncRNA from 1 species
UAUCAGAGUAUAGGUUCUGAAUUUUAUAAUUUUCUUCAUGAAGAGUGUCUUUCCAAAUUUUGUAUAAACCCCUCAUUUCCAAGUGGUAUCAUGUUAUAAAAAUUCAUAAUUUUUGAAUGUGAUUAAUGCAUAAAACAUGUGGAUGAUUUUGUUGGCACUUCAUAUAUGAAUCAUUGUGACUAGUUAAGGUACAAAUUUUUUGAAGGGUAUGUAAAUAUUUAUUUACAUAUUUGAUUACUGUUUGAAAUUGUACAUAUAGUUUGUGGUAAUCAUUAAACUGAUAUGUUGUAAUCAUUAACCAACUUUUCCUGCAUUAUUGGACCCUUGUGCGGUAAUUUCUGUUUAUCAUUUGAUUAUCCACAACACAUGGUAUUACUGUUUUAUUAUUCAGAGUGUAUUGUGAAAAAAUGAAUAAAUUGUCCGUGAUCAAGUAUACAUAUGUUUUGUAGUAGAUACAUAUUUUAUAUUUGUGUCACAUAUACUGUUGAAGUGAUAUAUAAAUAUAUGGAUUGGAAUAUAUGUAUUGAUACGG